CUGGCUCAGGAUGAACGCUGGCGGCGUGCCUAACACAUGCAAGUCGAGCGAUCUUCUUCGGAAGAGAGCGGCGGACGGGUGAGUAACGCGUGGGUAACCUGCCUCAUACACAUGGAUAACAUACCGAAAGGUAUGCUAAUACAAGAUGAUAUAAGAGAUUCGCAUGGAUUUUUUAUCAAAGCUCCGGCGGUAUGAGAUGGACCCGCGUCUGAUUAGCUAGUUGGUAAGGUAACGGCUUACCAAGGCGACGAUCAGUAGCCGACCUGAGAGGGUGAUCGGCCACAUUGGAACUGAGACACGGUCCAAACUCCUACGGGAGGCAGCAGUGGGGAAUAUUGCACAAUGGGCGAAAGCCUGAUGCAGCAACGCCGCGUGAGCGAUGAAGGCCUUCGGGUCGUAAAGCUCUGUCCUCAAGGAAGAUAAUGACGGUACUUGAGGAGGAAGCCCCGGCUAACUACGUGCCAGCAGCCGCGGUAAUACGUAGGGGGCUAGCGUUAUCCGGAUUUACUGGUCGUAAAGGGUGCGUAGGUGGUUUCUUAAGUCAGGAGUGAAAGGCUACGGCUCAACCGUAGUAAGCUCUUGAAACUGGGAAACUUGAGUGCAGGAGAGGAAAGUGGAAUUCCUAGUGUAGCGGUGAAAUGCGUAGAUAUUAGGAGGAACACCAGUAGCGAAGGCGGCUUUCUGGACUGUAACUGACACUGAGGCACGAAAGCGUGGGGAGCAAACAGGAUUAGAUACCCUGGUAGUCCACGCCGU
rnacentral:rRNA from 1 species